rnacentral:rRNA from 1 species
UGGGGAAUAUUGCACAAUGGGCGCAAGCCUGAUGCAGCAACGCCGCGUGAACGAUGAAGGUCUUCGGAUCGUAAAGUUCUGUUGCAGGGGAAGAUAAUGACGGUACCCUGUGAGGAAGCCCCGGCUAACUACGUGCCAGCAGCCGCGGUAAUACGUAGGGGGCUAGCGUUAUCCGGUUUUACUGGGCGUAAAGGGUGCGUAGGUGGUCUUUCAAGUCGGUGGUUAAAGGCUACGGCUCAACCGUAGUUAGCCUCCGAAACUGGAAGACUUGAGUGCAGGAGAGGAAAGUGGAAUUCCCAGUGUAGCGGUGAAAUGCGUAGAUAUUGGGAGGAACACCAGUAGCGAAGGCGGCUUUCUGGACUGCAACUGACACUGAGGCACGAAAGCGUGGGUAGCAAACAGG